UGCCCUCUAGUUCAGUUGGUAGAGCAUGAGAUCUCAAGGUUGGGGGUUUGAGCCCCACAUUGGGCAA